UACGGGGGGAGCAAGCGUUGUUCGGAUUUACUGGGCGUAAAGGGCGCGUAGGCGGCGUGGUAAGUCACUUGUGAAAUCUCCGGGCUUAACUCGGAACGGUCAAGUGAUACUGCUGCGCUAGAGUGCGGAAGGGGCAACUGGAAUUCUCGGUGUAGCGGUGAAAUGCGUAGAUAUCGAGAGGAACACCUGCGGCGAAGUCGGGUUGCUGGGCUGACACUGACGCUGAUGCGCGAAAGCUAGGGGAGCGAACGGG
rnacentral:rRNA from 1 species